UCAGACCUUAUCUGGUCAGAGAUCUAAGAGUUUGACUUGAGAUCAAGUAAACAGGAAAGGACUGUCCUUACAACUCUGGUUCUCUUUGCACCAAGAAUCCCUCAGUUAUACUGGCCAAGACUGAUCACUGACUGAGAAGAGGUCAACCAACCUUUUCUAUAAAAGAACAUAUAGGAAAUACUUCAGGCUUUGCUGGCCAUAUGGUCUCUUAUAACUGUUAGAGAACUGUUAGCUCUGCCAGGGUAUCAGGGAUGUAGCUACUAUCGUUAGUAGACAAAUGGGCAUGGCUAGAAAAUAGGUGGAAUUUCAAACUCUAUCUGCGGCUCAUCUGCAAUGCCCUGAUUUAAACUUGUAUGCUCUGGUACCUACCCCAAGUUUCCAAACCGUGUGACCUCUUAAAUUGUCUAGUUAAUUUAUAAAUCAUUUUUACAUUGCAGGGCAUUGGGUCACGCAAAAUUAAUGUGGAUAAUACAUUUCAGCAAAUGGUUCAAGUGAAAUUCUCCACACAUUUCAUAAAACAUUUUCACAAAGGAUUGUUGGAUACAGAUAGCACAAUCCACUACCCAGUGGAUCCCUCAGCUGAAGGUUACUGAUACCUAAGUAAGCUUACAUUUUUUUGAACUUAAAUUAUUGAAGCCAGUUGUCUUUUGAGGUUUUAAACUCUUUAAACUACCAGAAAGUCACAUAACACACAUAACUAUAUUAACAGCAAUCCCAACAAAACUAAAGCAAUGGUACAUGUCCAACAUAAACUUCUGCUGCAAAGCCUGCAUAGUCACAUUCCAUGAGGCUGGUUAGAAAAGAGGAAACUUAGGAAAGAGGAGAAAUAAUUAUACAAUAGUUUGUGUAAGGUUUUAUCAUCCAACUUGAGUGAAAUUUAUUAGUUUUCAUAGCUUCAAAAGAAUUUCAUCUUUCAUAACUUCUUACAUUUAAAACUUGCUAAACUUAAUGGUCUCAAGUCUGAGAGAAAAGGCUCAGCAGUCAAGAGUCCUGCUGCUCUUGUAGAGAACCCAAGUUUGCUUCCUAGGACCCACAGAUGAGCUCACAACUACUUAGAACCCCAAUUCCAAAGAAUCUGACAUUCUAUUUUAACAUCCAAGGCCCAAGGCAUGGAUGUGGUACACAGACAUAUGUGCAGGAGAAACACCUAUACAUAUAAAUAAAUCCUUAAAAAAAUCAGAAGUUACCAUCUGUCACCAGUGAAUGUUAAAAUCAGUAAAUGUCCAUUUGUGAAGAUGUAGGAAGUAUACUCCAACAGAGAUGCUGGUGUUAGGGAUGAGUGCCCUGAACAUCUUCAAGAUAGGAAGCAGUUAGUGCCACCUUGGAUGCCUUUAAAUAGAAGUGAUGUUUUUGCUCAUUAAUACUGUUUUUACAUGCCUACACUUUUAAUCUCAAGCUCUCUAUAUUAUAUGAGUUGAUCAUGUUAGUUUCCAUGUUUAGAAAAUAUAGAACUGUUUGGUUAUCAAAGGGAUAUGGCUUUUUAGAAAUAAAUUAUUUUAAGAUAGUGCUUUUUUUUUUUUUUUAAAGAAAGUUUACCAUGUAGCACAAACCAAACUCAGUUUUACUCUGUAGUCACAAGUAGCCCUGAGCUUCUGAUCAUCCUGUCGCCCCACCCCGGGGCUGCUGGGAUAUAAUCAUGUGUCCCCCCUCCCAGUUUUAAGUGGUGCUAAAGUGCUAGGGAAGAAAACCUAGGGCUCUGUGCAUGCUAGGCAAGACACUUAUCAACUGAACUACAUCUGUAACCCCUUAGUUAGAUUUUUUUUUUCCUUUUUCUUGAAAAUCAUAGCUUUCUAAAGUUGACUUAGUCUCUGCAGGACAUUGAGAUCAAAUUAAUAAUGCUAUUCCUUGUAAAAAUAUAACACUUAAAUUAUGUUUUACCUUAAUCUUUAUUUCAGGGGUUUUGUAGGGUUUCUUACACAACUUGUCUUUAUUCCCAUUUGUCAACUAAUGUGAAUAAAAAAUUGAAGUUUGUAUUACUUUGUAGAAUUAUUGUAAAUUGACCUGAUAUUAAAAACAAAUUAAGAAAGC
rnacentral:lncRNA from 1 species